UGGGGAAUAUUGGACAAUGGGCGCAAGCCUGAUCCAGCCAUGCCGCGUGUGUGAAGAAGGCCUUUUGGUUGUAAAGCACUUUAAGCGAGGAGGAGGCUACUUGGAUUAAUACUCUAGGAUAGUGGACGUUACUCGCAGAAUAAGCACCGGCUAACUCUGUGCCAGCAGCCGCGGUAAUACAGAGGGUGCGAGCGUUAAUCGGAUUUACUGGGCGUAAAGCGUGCGUAGGCGGCUUCUUAAGUCGGAUGUGAAAUCCCUGAGCUUAACUUAGGAAUUGCAUUCGAUACUGGGAAGCUAGAGUAUGGGAGAGGAUGGUAGAAUUCCAGGUGUAGCGGUGAAAUGCGUAGAGAUCUGAAGGAAUACCGAUGGCGAAGGCAGCCAUCUGGCCUAAUACUGACGCUGAGGUACGAAAGCAUGGGGAGCAAACAGG
rnacentral:rRNA from 1 species